AGUGAACGCUGGCGGUAGGCCCAACACAUGCAAGUCGAACGGCAGCACAGGAGAGCUUGCUCUCUGGGUGGCGAGUGGCGGACGGGUGAGGAAUACAUCGGAAUCUACUCUGUCGUGGGGGAUAACGUAGGGAAACUUACGCUAAUACCGCAUACGACCUACGGGUGAAAGCAGGGGACCUUCGGGCCUUGCGCGAUUGAAUGAGCCGAUGUCGGAUUAGCUAGUUGGCGGGGUAAAGGCCCACCAAGGCGACGAUCCGUAGCUGGUCUGAGAGGAUGAUCAGCCACACUGGAACGGAGACACGGUCCAGACUCCUACGGGAGGCAGCAGUGGGGAAUAUUGGACAAUGGGCGCAAGCCUGAUCCAGCCAUACCGCGUGGGUGAAGAAGGCCUUCGGGUUGUAAAGCCCUUUUGUUGGGAAAGAAAUCCAGCUGGCUAAUACCCGGUUGGGAUGACGGUACCCAAAGAAUAAGCACCGGCUAACUUCGUGCCAGCAGCCGCGGUAA
rnacentral:rRNA from 1 species